rnacentral:rRNA from 1 species
UAAGGAAUAUUGGACAAUGGGCGAAAGCCUGAUACAGCCAUGCCGCGUGAGUGAUGAAGGCCCUAGGGUUGUAAAGCUCUUUCAACGGUGAAGAUAAUGACGGUAACCGUAGAAGAAGCCCCGGCUAACUUCGUGCCAGCAGCCGCGGUAAUACGAAGGGGGCUAGCGUUGUUCGGAAUUACUGGGCGUAAAGCGCACGUAGGCUGAUAUUUAAGUCAGGGGUGAAAUCCCGGGGCUCAACCCCGGAACUGCCUUUGAUACUGGGUAUCUUGAGUUCGAGAGAGNGGAGUGGAAUUCCGAGUGUAGAGGUGAAAUUCGUAGAUAUUCGGAGGAACACCAGUGGCGAAGGCGGAUCAAUGGCUCGAUACUGACGCUGAGGUGCGAAAUCGUGGGGAGCAAACA